GGGUCCUUAACUCAGUGGUAGAGUGCGGGAUUGCAGUUGCGACGAAUAUCCUGAAGUCACUGGUUCGAUCCCGGUAGGGCCCU